GCGUAUCGCACCGGACUGAAAGAUCGUGUGGAGAUCGAUGUCGAUGUUCCCAAGGCAUUACCGCUCGUCCUGAUCGACAAGGCGGUUCUGUCGCGUGCAUUGACUAACAUCAUCGAGAACGCCUUGCAC
rnacentral:misc_RNA from 1 species